CCUACGGGAGGCAGCAGUGAGGAAUAUUGGUCAAUGGGCGGGAGCCUGAACCAGCCAAGUCGCGUGAGGGAAGAAGGGAAGAGGGAGGGGAAACCUCUUUAGGCGGGGAGCAAUGCCGGGCACGUGGGCCCGGAGGGAGAGUACCCGCAGAAUAAGCAUCGGCUAACUCCGUGCCAGCAGCCGCGGUAAUACGGAGGAUGCGAGCGUUAUCCGGAUUUAUUGGGUUUAAAGGGUGCGUAGGCGGAUUUUUAAGUCAGCGGUAAAAUGUCCGGGCUCAAGCCGGGCCGGCCGUUGAAACUGGGGAUGUUGAGUGGGCGAGAAGUAUGCGGAAUGCGUGGUGUAGCGGUGAAAUGCAUAGAUAUCACGCAGAACUCCGAUUGCGAAGGCAGCAUACCGGCGCCCGACUGACGCGGAGGCACGAAAGCGUGGGGAUCGAACAGGAUUAGAUACCCGAGUAGUC
rnacentral:rRNA from 1 species